GGCUCGGUAGUGUAGUUGGCAGCACAUGAGAACGCGCCUAGGUAAGGUCACGGGGAACCCUUCGGGAGGUAUGCAGUGGAAAAGCCCUCAAGGCGCAAUGUUGGGAAGGCGCGGGUUCGAUUCCCGCCCGAGUCA